rfam:Trachymyrmex cornetzi contig59741, whole genome shotgun sequence.
CCGGCACGCGUCGUCGUGUACUCGCCGCCGAAUGCGAAUCACAACAUCAUCCCGGUCUUUGCGCAACAAUCUCGCUGUUGGACGAUCGACGACCCCUCUGCGUCUCGCGCGCACGAGAGAGACUCGUCUCGUUUCCGUUGAGGACCUCAGAGCAGGCGAGAUCACCCGCUGAAUUUAAGCAUAUUAUUAAGCGGAGGAAAAGAAACUAACUAGGAUUUCCUUAGUAACGGCGAGUGAACAGGAAAGAGCCCAGCACCGAAUCUCGCGGUUCCGCCGCAGGGAAAUGUGGUGUUUGGGAGGAUCCGUUUAUCCCGAGGUGUCGCGUCGCGUCCAAGUCCAUCUUGAAUGGGGCCACUUACCCGCAGAGGGUGCCAGGCCCGUAGCGACCGGUGCGCGUCUCGGGAGGAUUCCUCCUUAGAGUCGGGUUGCUUGAGAGUGCAGCUCUAAGUGGGUGGUAAACUUCAUCUAAGGCUAAAUACGACCACGAGACCGAUAGCGAACAAGUACCGUGAGGGAAAGUUGAAAAGAACUUUGAAGAGAGAGUUCAAGAGUACGUGAAACCGUUCAGGGGUAAACCUAAGAAACCCAAAAGAUCGAACGAGGAGAUUCAUCGUCAGCGACGCUGGCUUCGCGUCGGGGGGCGAUGUCCCGCGGGGUCCUCGCGGCCCGUCCAGCGCGGACACGCUGCCGUGCGUCGAUGUCCGGCGUUCGUCGUCGUGCACUUCUCCCCUAGUAGAACGUCGCGACCCGCUGGGUGUCGGUCUACGGCCCGGGUGCGGUGACUGACGCGUCGCCGGUAAUACGGCACGCGUCAAACCCUCGGUCGCCCGGCCGGCUGCCCGGCGGUACACGCAAGGUAUCAGGCCGCAGCUCGCGCGCGCUCCGGCGCGCGCGUCUCUGCGUCGAGACCGUCGCAAGCGCGCGCCACGGUACACGGAGGCUAACGGACCUAGCGCCUUCACCGGUCCUGGCCCGCUGUUGGUCGUACGGUUAACCUUCGACUGGCCUACGAACGUUCCCCGCCUCGCGCGGGGGACCGAUACCGGUCGGCGACGCUACUGCUUUGGGGACUCUUAGGACCCGUCUUGAAACACGGACCAAGGAGUCUAACAUGUACGCGAGUCAUUGGGACUUUGCGAUACCUAAAGGCGUAAUGAAAGUAAAGGUCGGUCCUGGUUGCCGACCGAGGGAGGAUGGGCCGCGUCGCUAUGCGGCUCCGCACUCCCGGGGCGUCUCGUUCUCAUCGCGAGAAGAGGCGCACCCAGAGCGUACACGUUGGGACCCGAAAGAUGGUGAACUAUGCCUGGUCAGGACGAAGUCAGGGGAAACCCUGAUGGAGGUCCGUAGCGAUUCUGACGUGCAAAUCGAUCGUCGGAACAGGGUAUAGGGGCGAAAGACUAAUCGAACCAUCUAGUAGCUGGUUCCCUCCGAAGUUUCCCUCAGGAUAGCUGGCACUCGGCCGUCCCGAACGGAACGCGCGCGAGUCUCAUCUGGUAAAGCGAAUGAUUAGAGGCCUUGGGGCCGAAACGACCUCAACCUAUUCUCAAACUUUAAAUGGGUGAGAUCUCUGACUUUCUUGAACUAUGAAGUCACGAGUAUCUCGGAUCAGAGUGCCAAGUGGGCCAUUUCUGGUAAGCAGAACUGGCGCUGUGGGAACCAAACGCAGAGUUAAGGCGAUACGAGUAUCUCGGAUCAGAGUGCCAAGUGGGCCAUUUCUGGUAAGCAGAACUGGCGCUGUGGGAUGAACCAAACGCAGAGUUAAGGCGACCAACUCGACGCUCAUGGGACACCAUGAAAGGCGUCGGUUGCUUAAGACAGCAGGACGGUGGCCAUGGAAGUCGGAAUCCGCUAAGGAGUGUGUAACAACUCACCUGCCGAAGCAACUAGCCCUGAAAAUGGAUGGCGCUGAAGCGUCGAGCCUAUACUCUGCCGUCAGCGGCAAGUGGGGCGGCCGCGUGCGCGUCGCGAGGCGCGUACACGCCGCCACGAGGCCCUGACGAGUAGGAGGGUCGCGGCGUUGUGCGUAGAAGGGUCUGCGCGCGAGCCUGCCUGGAGCCGCCGUCGGUGCAGAUCUUGGUGGUAGUAGCAAAUACUUCAGCGAGGCCCUGGAGGACUGACGUGGAGAAGGAUUUCGUGUGAACAGCCGUUGCACACGAGUCAGUCAAUCCUAAGCCCUAGGAGAAAUCUUAUGUCAAUAACGGUGUACGAUACUCUAGUGUCGCGUUCUCGCAGCUCUGCAAAUAGAGAGAUAGAGAGAGGAGAGAGACACACGCCCGUCGGGCGAAAGGGAAUCCGGUUCCUAUUCCGGAACCCGGCAGCGGAACCGCAUACAAUUCGGGCCCUCGUAAGAGUGUUCGUCGGGGUAACCCAAAAUGACCUGGAGACGCCGUCGGGAGAUCCGGGAAGAGUUUUCUUUUCUAGUAUAAGCGUUCGAGUUCCCUGGAAACCUCUAGCAGGGAGAUAGGGUUUGGAACGCGAAGAGCACCGCAGUUGCGGCGGUGUCGGGACCUUCCCCUCGGACCUUGAAAAUCCAGGAGAGGGCCACGUGGAGGUGUCGCGCCGGCUCGUACCCAUAUCCGCAGCAGGUCUCCAAGGUAAAGAGCCUCUAGUCGAUAGACUAAUGUAGGUAAGGGAAGUCGGCAAAUUGGAUUCGUAACUUCGGAAUAAGGAUUGGCUCUGAGGAGCGGGGCGUGUCGGGCUUGGUCGGGAAGCGGGUCUGGCUGACGUGCCGGGCCUGGGCGAGGUGAACGCUCGGGUGUUCUCGCGCCGGUUCCGGGAUCCGAGCUCGGUCCCGUGCCUUGGCCUCCCGCGGAUCUUCCUUGCUGCGAGGCUUCCGUAGCGGCGCGAGCCGUCGUGGGCGUCCUCUUCGGCCGCCAUUCAACGCUCAGCUCAGAACUGGCACGGACUAGGGGAAUCCGACUGUCUAAUUAAAACAAAGCAUUGCGAUGGCCCUCGCGGGGGUUGACGCAAUGUGAUUUCUGCCCAGUGCUCUGAAUGUCAACGUGAAGAAAUUCAAGCAAGCGCGGGUAAACGGCGGGAGUAACUAUGACUCUCUUAAAGGGAGUAACUAUGACUCUCUUAACAGACCAUCUUCAAAGAGUCAUUGUAGGGACGAUGACGCGCAAUACACAGCCUCUCUCGUCCAAGUCACAUGAGUUACCUCCACGUUGGUGCUCCUAGUAACGUCCUCGGACGGCUAAAUACUCAUGUGGCGAACUUAGGGUCUACGGGGCUGCCAACCCCCUGACUCUUAUUAGCUGGCCCAAUAAGAAGAAAUAUGCCUCGGAUAAGU